AUGAGUCUUUGCUUAAAGGGCGCUAAAGUUAUGCUCUUUGGCACUGCCCAAGGAUGGGGCCGCGACCGAUCAGGUUGUUGGUGAGGUAAUGGCUCACCAAGCCUUUUACCGGUGCGGGCCGUGAGAGCGGGAGCCCGGAGAUGGGCACUGAGACAAGGGCCCAGGCCCUACGGGGCGCAGCAGUCGCGAAAACUUUGCAAUAAGCGAAAGCUUGACAGGGCUAUCCCGAGUGCCAUCCGCUGAGGAAGGCUUUUACCCAGUCUAGAACGCUGGGGGAAUAAGGAGAGGGCAAGUCUGGUGUCAGCCGCCGCGGUAAUACCAGCUCUCCGAGUGGUGUGGAUGUUUAUUGGGCCUAAAGCAUCCGUAGCUGGCUAAGUUAGUCCCCUGUUAAAUCCACCGAAUUAAUCGUUGGAUUGCGGGGGAUACUGCUUGGCUAGGGGACGAGAGAGGCAGACGGUAUUUCCGGGGUAGGGGUGAAAUCCUAUAAUCCCGGGAAGACCACCAGUGGCGAAGGCUGUCUGCUAGAACGCGCCCGACGGUGAGGGAUGAAAGCCGGGGGAGCGAACCGGAUUAGAUACCCGGGUAGUCCCAGCUGUAAACGAUGCAGACUAGGUGUUUGGACGGCCACGUGCCGUUCUAGUGCCGCAGGGAAGCUGUUA
rnacentral:rRNA from 1 species